AACGAACGCUGGCGGCAUGCCUAACACAUGCAAGUCGAACGAGACCUUCGGGUCUAGUGGCGCACGGGUGCGUACCGCGUGGGAACCUGCCCUUAGGUUCGGAAUAACUCCCCGUAAGGGGUGCUAAUACCGGAUAAUGUCUUCGGACCAAAGAUUUAUCGCCUUUGGAUGGGCCCGCGUUGGAUUAGCUAGUUGGUAGGGUAAAAGCCUACCAAGGCGACGAUCCAUAGCUGGUCUGAGAGGAUGAUCAGCCACACUGGGACUGAGACACGGCCCAGACUCCUACGGGAAGCAGCAGUGGGGAAUAUUGGACAAUGGGCGAAAGCCUGAUCCAGCAAUGCCGCGUGAGUGAUGAAGGCCUUAGGGUUGUAAAGCUCUUUUACCCGGGAUGAUAAUGACAGUACCGGGAGAAUAAGCUCCGGCUAACUCCGUG
rnacentral:rRNA from 1 species